GUGGGUAGGGGUGAAAGGCCAAUCAAACUCCGUGAUAGCUGGUUCUCCCCGAAAUGCAUUUAGGUGCAGCGUUGCGUGGUCCCUGGUGGAGGUAGAGCUACUGGAUGGCCGAUGGGCCCUGUGGGUUACUGACGUCAGCCAAACUCCGAAUGCCAAUAGGGUAGAGCACGGCAGUGAGACUGCGGGGGAUAAGCUUCGUAGUCGAGAGGGAAACAGCCCAGAUCAUCAGCUAAGGCCCCUAAGCGUACGCUAAGUGGGAAAGGAUGUGGAGUCGCGGUGACAACCAGGAGGUUGGCUUAGAAGCAGCCAUCCUUGAAAGAGUGCGUAAUAGCUCACUGGUCAAGUGGUUCUGCGCCGACAAUGUAGCGGGGCUCAAGCGUACCGCCGAAGCUGUGGCAACAACACGUGAUACUGGCGCCAGGAACUGGAGUGCUGGUGUGUUGUUGGGUAGGGGAGCGUCCUGCACGAGGUGAAGCCUGGAGGGAACUUCUGGUGGAUUGUGUGGGAGUGAGAAUGCAGGCAUGAGUAACGAAUCUGCGGUGAGAAUCCGCAGCGCCGAUUGACUAAGGGUUCCAGGGCUAGGUUUAUCCGCCCUGGGUUAGUCGGGUCCUAAGGCGAGGCCGACAGGCGUAGUCGAUGGACAACCAGUUGAUAUUCUGGUACCGCGUUAUGACCGCCCAUGCUGAAGUCAUUGUGCUAACCAAUUUGCUCACGCCACUUGUAAGCCUUCGGGUUUGUGGGUGUGUGUGGGUCUUGGGGCCCCGGUGAUUGUAGGCAAGCGUGUUAACAGGGGUGACGCAGACAGGUAGCUGCAGUGCGCCGAUGGUUGUGCGUAUUUAAGGUUGUGGCCCGCCUCCCAGGCAAAUCCGGGGGGCAUGUGGGUGAGAACUGAUGAGGGACACACGCGUGUGUGGACUUGUGGUGAUCCUAAGCUGCCGAGAAAAGCCUCGACGUGAGGGCAUAACGCGCCCGUACCCUAAACCGACUCAGGUGGUCAGGUAGAGUAUACCGAGGCGUUCGAGUGAAUCGUGGUUAAGGAACUCGGCAAAAUUCCUCCGUAACUUCGGGAUAAGGAGGACCCCGUGACUUCCCAGUGUCUUGCGUGCUGGUGGGGUUGUGGGGUCGCAGAGAAUAGGGAGAAGCGACUGUUUAUCAAAAACACAGGUGCGUGCGAAGCCGUAAGGCGAUGUAUACGCACUGACGCCUGCCCGGUGCUGGAAGGUUAAGAGGAACCGUCAACACUCCUUUGUGGGUGUGAAGCGGUGAAUUUAAGCCCCAGUAAACGGCGGUGGUAACUAUAACCAUCCUAAGGUAGCGAAAUUCCUUGUCGGGUAAGUUCCGACCUGCACGAAUGGCGUAACGACUUCUCCGCUGUCUCAACCGCGAACUCGGUGAAAUUGCAGUACGAGUAAAGAUGCUCGUUUCGCGCAGAAGGACGGAAAGACCCCGGGACCUUUACUAUAGCUUGGUAUUGGUGUUCGCUUGGACUUGUGUAGGAUAGGUGGGAGACUGUGAAGCUGCCGCGCCAGCGGUGGUGGAGUCGUCGUUGAAAUACCAUUCUGGUUCAAGCGGUCACCUCAACCUAGACCCGUGAUCCGGGUUGGGGACAGUGCCUGGUGGGUAGUUUAACUGGGGCGGUUGCCUCCUAAAAUGUAACGGAGGCGCUCAAAGGUUCCCUCAGCCUGGUUGGUAAUCAGGUGGCGAGUGCAAGUGUACAAGGGAGCUUGACUGUGAGACCGACGGGUCGAGCAGGUGCGAAAGCAGGAACUAGUGAUCCGGCCAUGGCACGUGGGUGCGUGGUCGCUCAACGGAUAAAAGGUACCCCGGGGAUAACAGGCUGAUCUUGCCCAAGAGUCCAUAUCGACGGCAUGGUUUGGCACCUCGAUGUCGGCUCGUCGCAUCCUGGGGCUGGAGUCGGUCCCAAGGGUUGGGCUGUUCGCCCAUUAAAGCGGUACGCGAGCUGGGUUCAGAACGUCGUGAGACAGUUCGGUCCCUAUCCUCUGUGCGCGCAGGAAACUUGAGAAGGGCCGUCCCUAGUACGAGAGGACCGGGAUGGACGAACCUCUGGUGUGCCAGUUGUACCGCCAGGUGCAUGGCUGGUUAGCUACGUUCGGAAGGGAUAACCGCUGAAAGCAUCUAAGCGGGAAGCCUGCU
rnacentral:rRNA from 1 species